rnacentral:rRNA from 1 species
CUGAGGUGUGGCUCGCACCUGUCUAACUAAAAUUGAGCUACCAUUUUAAACACGGUUGCAUCGGUUGGGGUCCCGUCAAGUAGCGCAAGCUACACUAAGAGGCCUCGACACUUUACACAAACACUUUUGAUGAUCUAGGAUUUGAAUGAAAGUUCAUUUUUGUGAUGGAACCGACUGGUAAUGCGGUCGUCUAAAUCUAUAGAAACAACUUUUGGCAACGGAUCUCUUGGUUCUCCCAUCGAUGAAGAACGCAGCGAAUUGCGAUAAGUAAUGUGAAUUGCAGAAGUGAAUCAUCGAAUCUUUGAACGCACCUUGCGCUCCCGGCAGAUCUAAUCUGGGGAGCAUGCCUGUUUGAGGGCCGCGAAUUGUUUCGAACGGCAGCUUUUUUCACAAAGAGCUGACGGAUCGGUAGUGAGGGUCUUGCCAUUCAUCGUGGCUCCCUCGAAAUACAUUAGCGCAUCCAUUUGAUAGGCAAGACGGACGAAGGCUCACUCUUUCGUCCUUUUCUUCCCUGCCGGGUUUUGAUAAUAUCAGGACUUCGGAGCGGUCGAAGAGGGCACGAGCUGGACGCAACGACUUGCUGGUUGGAUUGCUUCUGAACCCCGCCCUUUUUGUAGAAAUUGGGAUUUAUAAUUCAUCGGCCUCAGAUUGGUAGGACGACAAGGAUAAACUUAAG